AACGCACAUUGCACCUUUUGGUAUUCCGAAAGGUAUGCUUGUUCGAGCGUCGUUUAAACUAUAUCAAUUUAAUUAUUGAAUGUAUUGAGUGCUUUCUCUUAGCUUUUUUUUAAUUAAAAAAUAGAGACACUCCGAAAUGAUUGAGCGAUCUUGACUAGAUUUAAUUGACGCAUUAAGAAUUAUUUUAUCGUCAAUAGAAGAAGUCAAUUGAUCUGCCAAAUAAAAUCUAUUUCUUCUGUAAGAGUUUUUCCAAACUCAAGUAGAACAAAUAAACCAAUUUUUUAUUAUCGACCUCGAAUCAAGUAGGAUUACCCGCUGAACUUAA
rnacentral:misc_RNA from 1 species